GUGAGGAAUAUUGGUCAAUGGGCGAAAGCCUGAACCAGCCAUGUCGCGUGAAGGAUGAAGGUCCUAUGGAUUGUAAACUUCUUUUGCAGGAGGGUAAAGUGAGCUACGUGUAGUUCAUUGCAAGUACCCUGCGAAUAAGCAUCGGCUAACUCCGUGCCAGCAGCCGCGGUAAUACGGAGGAUGCGAGCGUUAUCCGGAUUUAUUGGGUUUAAAGGGUGCGUAGGCGGACUAAUUAGUCAGCGGUGAAAUUUUGCGGCUCAACCGUAAAACUGCCGUUGAAACUGUUAGUCUUGAGUGCGGUAGAGGUAGGCGGAAUGUGUGGUGUAGCGGUGAAAUGCUUAGAUAUCACACAGAACACCGAUUGCGUAGGCAGCUUACUGGAGCGCAACUGACGCUGAGGCACGAAAGCGUGGGGAUCGAACAGGAUUAGAUACCCUUGUAGUCC
rnacentral:rRNA from 1 species